rnacentral:rRNA from 1 species
AAUAGAUACCCGGGUAGUCCAUGCCGUAAACGAUGUCUACUAGCCGUUGGGGGCCUUUGAGGCUUUAGUGGCGCAGCUAACGCGAUAAGUAGACCGCCGUGGGGAGUACGGUCGCAAGACUAAAACUCAAAUGAAUUGACGGGGGCCUGCACAAGCGGUGGAGCAUGUGGUUUAAUUCGAUGCAACGCGAAGAACCUUACCUGGUCUUGACAUACAGAGAACUUUCCAGAGAUGGAUUGGUGCCUUCGGGAACUCUGAUACAGGUGCUGCAUGGCUGUCGUCAGCUCGUGUCGUGAGAUGUUGGGUUAAGUCCCGCAACGAGCGCAACCCUUUUCCUUACUUGCCAUCGGGUCAUGCCGGGAACUUUAAGGAUACUGCCAGUGACAAACUGGAGGAAGGCGGGGACGACGUCAAGUCAUCAUGGCCCUUACGACCAGGGCUACACACGUGCUACAAUGGUCGGUACGAAAGGGUUGCUACCUAGCGAUAGGAUGCUAAUCUCAAAAAGCCGAUCGUAGUCCGGA